AGAGUGUCCACCCUCAACCCUAUCUCUGUGGAGUGGGCCUAUGAACUAACCAGGACCAACAUGCAAACACUGUACGAGCAGAGGGAGUGGGGAUGGAAGGAGAGAGAAAAGUGGGAUGAGAUGAAUGAUGAGAGGGCGUGGUAUCUCCUGGCCCGAGACACAGACUCCUCCCCCGUGGCCUUCUCUCACUUCCGAUUCACGUCAAGUGCGGAGAGGAGGUGCUAUACUGAUCCUAGGGUAGGGAUCUCAGAUCUUCUGCUCCAAUGUGCUUCGAGAAGGAGACGAGUUGGAAGGAGACUGUGAGGAACCAGCCAACAGCUCCAGAUGACAAAACCUGC